GAUGAACGCUAGCUACAGGCUUAACACAUGCAAGUCGAGGGGCAGCAUGAACUUAGCUUGCUAAGUUUGAUGGCGACCGGCGCACGGGUGAGUAACACGUAUCCAACCUGCCGAUGACUCGGGGAUAGCCUUUCGAAAGAAAGAUUAAUACCCGAUGGCAUAGUUCUUCCGCAUGUAGAACUAUUAAAGAAUUUCGGUCAUCGAUGGGGAUGCGUUCCAUUAGGUUGUUGGCGGGGUAACGGCCCACCAAGCCUUCGAUGGAUAGGGGUUCUGAGAGGAAGGUCCCCCACAUUGGAACUGAGACACGGUCCAAACUCCUACGGGAGGCAGCAGUGAGGAAUAUUGGUCAAUGGACGAGAGUCUGAACCAGCCAAGUAGCGUGAAGGAUGACUGCCCUAUGGGUUGUAAACUUCUUUUAUACGGGAAUAAAGUGAGGCACGUGUGCCUUUUUGUAUGUACCGUAUGAAUAAGGAUCGGCUAACUCCGUGCCAGCAGCCGCGGUAAUACGGAGGAUCCGAGCGUUAUCCGGAUUUAUUGGGUUUAAAGGGAGCGUAGGCGGACGCUUAAGUCAGUUGUGAAAGUUUGCGGCUCAACCGUAAAAUUGCAGUUGAUACUGGGUGUCUUGAGUACAGUAGAGGCAGGCGGAAUUCGUGGUGUAGCGGUGAAAUGCUUAGAUAUCACGAAGAACUCCGAUUGCGAAGGCAGCCUGCUGGACUGUAACUGACGCUGAUGCUCGAAAGUGUGGGUAUCANACAGG
rnacentral:rRNA from 1 species